GAUUUUUUACAAUCACUUGAGUUGCAAGCAACAGAAACUAAUGCUAAGGAAGAAGUUGUGUUGAAGCAGCAAGUAUGUAUAAGGACAUCAGUGUGGCAGAAACAUUGGCAAUCUGGAAAAUGUAGCCCCCGCUGAAAAAAAUUAACAUUCAAGAAAAAGCUUGUGUACUGCAGUGGCCACAUAAAUAUGCCUAUUGGCCACCUUCAGCCUCCAGGCCUCCAAUCUGCAACAUCCAUCUCCAGGAAAGAGCCCAGGUUUCAUGCCUGGUGCCAAGGCCCUGCUUGACCAAGGGUAUUCAAACUCCAGGCUAGAUGCCCAAUUCUGGACAAUGGAGAAGGACUAAAAGAGCAAAGCCUAUGCCAGUUUGUUUUUCCUGCCUUGGGAUUUUUUUUUGUGUCCACUGUACAGUAUUCUAAGGGAAAAAGAAAAAGAUGUGUAAAGUAACAGAGAGAGGCGGCUAUGGGGUAGAGGCCUCUUUCUAAUAAAGAAAUGAAAAUACGUCAAAAAAAAAAAAAAAAAAGAGCAAAGCCUUAAGUGAUAAUGACUGUCUGGUUCUUACCCAAGUCUGCAGACCCCAGCACUGGGCCCAGGAUGGAGGCAGCCUCAUGGAGGGCCCCGAGUCACGAUCCUUUACUUAAGGUGGUCGUCCGUGAAUGCGUGGCCCGCCUCGUUGAGCAGCUGCAUCAGGUAGUUGGUGAGGUCACCCCCAGCGUAGUCGGCGCGGCUGGUCAGGCCCGGCAGCACGUGCGAGACGCCGUGACCGCUCUCCACCACGAGCCCCGAGGUCUUGCCCUACCAGUAAAUGGACAGCAGCGACUGGGACGUCACGUGCAUGGCACAGAUGCCAAAGGCCUCGAACAUGAGCUCAGCGUACUUCUCCCGGUUGCUGCUGGGGCUGAGUGGAGGGUCCGAGACCAGCACAGCGUGCUCCUCGGGGACGAUCUUCAUGGCCCUGUGGAAGAUGUACUCCCAGAUGUCCUGCACGCAGUCCCAGUCCACCACGACGCCGUGCUUCAGCGGGUUCACCAGCUCGAGAGGCGCCUCUGUGCUCAGCAGCUCAUGGCCCACCAAGGUCUCCUUGCGGGUGUCACCGGCGUCGGCCGUCUCGUGGCAGCGUUUGCCCACGGUGGAGGUGAUGAAGUAGGUGGGCCUCGGCUCUCCCGCAUAGCCGCACUUGCAGUACUGGGAGCCCAGGUCGAUGAUCACCUUGAUCUUGUGCACCUUCCUGGGCUUCAUCUUGAGCUGAGUGGCCGCACCUGUGUCCUAGAGGCCGGCGUCAGGGCCUGGCAGCAUUCCCGCCUCUCCAGGGUCACCCUGAGCCGUGCCCAGGGGCAUGGGGCUAAGGCUGUUCCUUGCCGCCAUCUGCCUUCCUAGCACCCCUUCUUACAUCCACAGCCUAGAGCUCCCUGGGGAGAAAUGAGAGCUCACCUCCAGCAGUGCCGUGGCAACCACCAGGGAUUGUGAUGUCACUCUGGGCUGGUCCAUUCAGGUAGCCGGGGAGGGCGUGGCUUGGGCGGGCUCUUGGCCUGUCACCCCCAACCCCAUCUCUCUAACUCUCAGUGCCACUUGCUCUGUCCUGUGCACCAGCAGGUGGCUGGCAAUUUUAGACAUCUAAGCUCACUGGGGUCUCAGAGGUUUCCGCUUAGCCUGCUUGCAUUUCCAUGCCUAACCUGUUCACUACUGGACACCUUUCCUCCUCUGCUUCUUGGUGGAGAGGGCCUAAAUAUUUGAGCCCCUCCAGUAAGGCAGGCACUGUACCAGGUACUUCACUUACGUUGUUCUGCAGGUAGGCAGAGCUGAGGAAACGAGGCUCAGAAUUCUAAGGACUUGUCCAAGAGCAAAUAGCACCUGGGGUGUUUGUACCUUAACCCAAAUUCAUCAAACUCCAGUGCACCAGGCCUUCUUAACAACCCCAAGUGUUAAACAGCCCCAUUGUGGUUUUUUUUUUUUUCCUGCAAAUGUUGGCUGCCAUUUAAUUUUGGAAAAGAAAUAGAACUUUCAGUUUUCCUAUUAGGCAUAUUACUCACAGUGGUUGGGAUUCAAUGUUUCUAGCUUUGCCCCAAGCAGGGCAAAAUUUCUGAUUAACCAGUUUUCAAGUCAAUCAGUCUGUGUAGAUUUAUUUCCAGCAGUGUGUUUGUGCAAUGCCUCCUGUCCUUUUCAACCAUACCCUUCUCCAGCCCCAGUAUAUCCAAAACCCAUGGCCAAUUGGGGUUCCGAAAAUGUCUGGCUUCCAUCUAGCUCCCCUCCAAAGAAAUUAAUGAAAGAGGAGGCAGGAUUUCAUCUUCUUUGUGGAUGGUGCACAUGGAAUACAUCUAAAUUUUAAAAGCUAAAUAUCUAAAAAAUGGUGUGUGUCUGUAUCACAUUCAAAAUCAUAGUUCAUGUAUUAUUCUCCAAGGGAAUACAUCAAAAAAAUUAAUCAUGAGUAAAUCUAAAUUUAGCAGUUUAUUCUCAUCUUAAUGAAUACUAAAUCCUGUUUGCAAUUUUCACUCAAAUGACUCAAGCUUAUUCCUUUUUAAUCUCCUUGAACUUUUAGCUGAAGCUCCUCAAUCUGCAGAAACACAUUUCCAUGCUGAAAUCAGGCUUGGAAGAGAUUAGAAUCACAUUAUAUUUCAUUUAACAGUAAACACUACAGGAAGAACUAUUUCAAACAAACUAAGCCCUUCUUGUCACACUUAAACAUUAACCUCAACCCCAAGGUAGACAGAUACUAAAAUUCAGAAUUGCAUCCCAGGAGGCCUUUAGGACAAAUUAAUAUUUGUUCUGUAAAAGGCACCAUGUGUCAUGUUACAUAUCAAUUUACAUUUAUUGAGUGCCUAACUGAGUGAGAAGUGCUGUGCUCAGUGCUGGAGACUCAAAGAUGAGCGAAUAAGACAUGCUUUCUUCCUUUCAGAACCUUGUCCCCCAGUGAGGGAGUUAGCAACAUCAGGUAAGUCCUGAGAUGGCAGGAUCACACAGUGCAGUCUCCAAAUUGCCCCAAAGCACUGCGACUCCUAAGUUAUCCCAAAUUCCUUAACUUCUCUGUAACCUCUUUUGCUGAGGACAAUAUGAUCCAACAAAAAGUCUCCUACUAACAAAGAGAAUGUUUGAUACAAACACUUAAUUUCAGAAACAAUUGUCUCCCAAAGCACUUGGCUUGCCCAAAGAUGACUUACCCUGUGGGCAGCCCCUUGCCACACCUGUCUCAAAGAACAAUCAAGCUGAACCCAGACAGUUUCAUUGUCUACUCCUCCUUGCUGACAGAAGCUUGCUGAUGUGCAAAUGGAGAAAGAGAGGACUGGGAAGGUCACAACUUGUCCUUGCUCCCUCAAG
rnacentral:lncRNA from 1 species